UACGAGGGGGGCAAGCGUUGUUCGGAAUUAUUGGGCGUAAAGGGGUGCGUAGGCGGUCGUGAUAAGUCAUCUGUGAAAAUCUAUGGGCUCAACCCAUAGUCUGCAGGCGAAACUGUCGGGCUUGAGUAUGGGAGAGGUGAGUGGAAUUUCCGGUGUAGCGGUGAAAUGCGUAGAUAUCAGGAGGAACACCUGUGGCGAAAGCGGCUCACUGGACCAUAACUGACGCUGAUGCACGAAAGCUAGGGGAGCAAACAGG
rnacentral:rRNA from 1 species